rnacentral:rRNA from 1 species
UACGGAGGGGGCUAGCGUUGUUCGGAAUUACUGGGCGUAAAGCGCGCGUAGGCGGACCUGCAAGUCGAGUGUGAAAGCCCCCGGCUCAACUGGGGAGGGUCACUCGAUACUGAUCGACUGGAAGGCAGGAGAGGGAAGCGGAAUUCCCGGUGUAGUGGUGAAAUGCGUAGAUAUCGGGAGGAACACCAGUGGCGAAGGCGGCUUCCUGGACCGACAUUGACGCUGAUGAGCGAAAGCCAGGGAGCAAAGCGGG